CCAUUUCACAGUGACAGUGACCUUGUGUGCGAAUGGUGACAAUCCUCCGUCUCUCUAAGGGGUGCAAGAGACGACGAUUUCCACCGACGCGGCAAAGACGAACACGCACUCCAUUCUUUUGGUGAUCAUUUGGCCCCCGUUACAAACAACUUCGGCUCCGCCGAAAACAAGUACUCUGUUGACAAGCUUUUUUACCUAUUGAUGAGAGUUCUGCGCUCCCAGCUUCGGCAGCUCUUGAGUCAAAUCAUAGAAACGAUGCCUGCGUUCUGGUUAAUCUCAACAUGGCUUGGGUCCUUGAACUCGCCCAUGAUUUGGGUAUUGGGAUGUCGUCUUUUCUUCCUUUUCCACCGCUUACUGUGCCAUUAAUUUCAGCAUCCCCAAAUUCAUGCAAGAUGGGAUCAUAGACGCCCAAGAUCAGAUAAGUCUCAACAACAAAUAAAUUUUUAAAUUCCCACUUUCAUCUCAUUACUUAUUCCUUACAUUAAAAGUUAUUUAGUUUCUGGGUUUUGAAUAACUAUAUCUCUACCUGUAUAAUUGGGGCUGGAAUUUUCAUCAUCGUGCAUAUCUACUCCAAAAACUUUCUAACAAGGUGGUCCUCUGUUUAUCUAAUUUAGCUUUUUAAGGCAAACAAGUCUUUUAACCAGUCAAGUGUUAACUUUUAAGGUUGGUUAUCCAUUUCCAUCACAUGGUGAUAAUAGUUUAGAAAUUGACUGUAGUGGUAUAAUGCUUAGGAAGAGCAUCUUGACAGUAUUGUUUGAUUCACUAUACAUUUCUAGUGGCAUAAAUGUUAAUUUUGUAGAAUCUUGAUGUCAAAUUGAUGAUGGAUCAUGCUAUACUGAAGGUAGUCUGUGCUUCACAUUGUCCUCAUCUCCCUCUUGUUUUGCUUUCCCCCACAUGAAACCAUAACAUUUUGUUCACUUCUUAUGCUCUGUUUUAGUAUUUAGUUUCUCAUCUUUUUUCUACCACUUUGCAUCUAAAAUGGCUUUGUAUAUUCUUAAGGGAUUGCUCCAAGAUUAUGUGCAGUCAUUGUUUGAUCAUGAGGUAACUAGUUUCUCAUCAAUUAUUCUUCGUUUCGUUUCAUUUCGAAUCGAACUUAUCAAAACUUACCAGAAUCAUAUGUGUUUACCUUUUUCAUUGUAGGCUAAUAGUUUCAAAUAUGCAGGGAUAUAUUCUAUCAGCAUCAAUUUCUCUAAGUUGAGUGUACUAGUUCACAGGAUAGAGGAUAAAAGCACGCAGUAGUUUUCAGUUUGAAUAUAUUUUUUUGUUAUAUUUUCCGUUUGAAUUUUAUCCUUUUUCACAAAUUACUUCAGUCCUUUUGACCAUAUUUGUUUCAAAUAGAGUAUUUGUGAAUAUAAGAAUUUUAUUUAUGAUCUCAUGGAUUUGUAUUACUUAAGCUUGUUAAUAUCACUAAAAAUGGAACUUGUUUUUCGUUGAAUCAAUUAAAUAUUUUUAAAAUGGAUGUGUACGUGGCAGGAUUGGUGUAACGACAUGUGAGGCUCGCAUCCAUCCAUCUCAUUUGGGCUUGUGACCAAGAGGACCAGAAUAUGUGAGUUGAAAAAAAGUCAUAAACUACCGACCUUUAGAUAUAUUUUAAUUACCACAAAUAGAAAAUACAAAAUGUGAGUUUGUUUAGGUAAUAUAGCAGUUACCUUAGGAGAUGUUUGUUUGGGUUAGAUUUUAUAAAAAGAUGAGUUAUAAAAACUUGAGUUAACUUAGGAGAUGUAGUUGAAAAUGUGAGUUUCAUACGUUUGAGUUUAUAUACUUCAAGAUUUUCGUGGAAUCUUCCGCAAAUUUUUUAUAAUGUUGAGCAGGAGGUCAAUUCCGAUAAGAAGGAAUUUUCUAGAUUCAAGUUUUCUAAAUGCAAUGGUAAUUCAGAACGGAAGUUUAGCAAUUGACUGAGAUUUGAUUGCAUAUAUUGUGCCCAAUUUGCUGCUGCACUGAGAUGUUAUUAGCUACUGCACUUAAAGGUGAUGAUUUUGGAAGGUUUAGAGAUUUUAUCAUGGUGCUUGUUCUUCUUACAUAUUUGCGGAUAGUGUCAACAGCUUAAUCAAGGUCGGUCGAAUUGAGUCCAUCAUGGUUCUCGGAGUCGAUAAGGAGAAGGGUUACUUUGAUUUGCGUAAGAGGCAGGUGUCUAAGGAGGAUAUUCAAGCUUGCAAGGAGAGGUACAAUACAAUAAGUGCAAGCUUGUUCACUCUAUAAUGCGCUAUGUUGCUGAGACUACGAAUAUCAAAUUGGAGCACUAGAGAGACGACGUCACAAUCAUGAAUUCAACUCCCACUUCUCAAUUAAGCAACCCAAUUGAGCAUUGUUGUGGCUGUAAAACUAGAUGAAAGAAACUACUUGUCUAUGGUAGUUGCUAGUUCUUUGUUAUGCUCUGUGGUCAGAAAUUAUAAAGUGUUCCUUUAGCUCCCUCACCUGAUUAAUUUCUGCAACAACUUGGGAAGUUUAUGAA